UGACAGAGAUAGCGCGACGGUGCGCGACCCGCUUUUCGGGGCCGCGUGAAACGGGAAGCCGGUAGGCCAUUGGCCGAUGCCGGCGCCGCCCCCGCGACUGUAACGGGCCUGACUUUUCACUCAGCGUGCCACUGGUUUGCGACUGGGAAGGUGGAGUGAGAGGUGCCCGGAGCCAGGAGACCGGCCGUCCGGUGGUGACCCAA
rnacentral:ncRNA from 2 species